rnacentral:rRNA from 1 species
UACGUAGGGCGCAAGCGUUGUCCGGAAUUAUUGGGCGUAAAGAGCUCGUAGGCGGUCUGUCACGUCGGAUGUGAAAGCCCGGGGCUUAACCCCGGGUCUGCAUUCGAUACGGUCAGACUAGAGUGUGGUAGGGGAGAUCGGAAUUCCUGGUGUAGCGGUGAAAUGCGCAGAUAUCAGGAGGAACACCGGUGGCGAAGGCGGAUCUCUGGGCCAUUACUGACGCUGAGGAGCGAAAGCGUGGGGAGCGAACAGG